GGCCACACCCAUGGCAUAUGGAAGUUCCCAGACUAGGUGUCAAAUUGGAGCUGCAGCCUACACCACAGCCACAGCCACCCCAGAUCUAAGGUGCAUUUGUGACCUACAUUGCAGCUCAUGGCAACACCAGAUCCUUAACCCACUGAGCGGGGCCAGGGAUUGAACACAAAUCCUCAUGGAUAGUCAUGUUCAUCACCCCUGAGCCACAAAAGAGACUCCCUCGAUAUUCUGUAAUAACCUAUGAGGAAACAGAAUAUGAAAAAGAGGGAGUUCCCUGGUGGUCUAGUGGAUAGGAUUCAGGUGCUUUCACUGCUGUGGCCUGGGUUCAAUUCUUGGUCUGGGAACUGAGAGCCCACAUCAAGCUGCUACUUGCUGCAGCCAACAACAACAAAAGAAUCUGAAAAAGAAUAUAUAAAAGAUACAUGCACCCCUAUGUUCACUGCAGCAGUAUUCACAAUAGCCAAGACAUGGAAACAACCUAAAUGCCCAUCAACAGAAUGGAUUAAGAAGAUUUGGUACAUAUAUACAAUGGAAUACUACACAGCCAUAAAAAGGAGAAUAAUGCCAUUUGCAGCUACACAAUUGUAACUAGAAAUUCUCAUAAUAUGUGAAGUCAGUCACAAAAAGAAAGACAAAUACCAUAUGAUAACACUUAUAUGUGGCAUCUAAAGUAUGGCACAAAUGACAUUAUCUACAGCACAGAAACAGACUCAUGGAUAUAGAGAACAGACUUGUGGUUGCCAAGGGGGAGAGGGAGGGAGGGAGUGGGAUGGAUGAGGAGUUUGGGGUUGGAAGAUGCAAACUAUUACAUUUAGAAUGGAUAAGUAAUGAGGUCCUACUGUACAGCACAGGGAACUAUGGCCAAUCUCUUGGGAUAGAACAUGAUGGCAAAAAAACCACAAAAAAACAAAACACAAACAAACAAACAAAAAACCACAAACGGAGUUCCUGUCGUGGUGCAGUGGAAACCAAUCCAACUAGGAACCAUGAGGUUGCAGGUUCGAUCCCUGGCCUCGCUCAGUGGGUUAAGGAUCCGGUGUUGCCGUGAGCUGUGGCAUAGGUCGCAGAGGUGGCUUGGAUCUGUCAUUGCUGUGGCAGUGGCGUAGGCUAAAAGGUGAAGCUCCGAUUAGACCCCUAGCCUCGGAACCUCCAUAUGCCACAGUGUGGUCCUAAAAAAAAGACAAAAAUAAAAAAAAACAACAUGAUGGGAGACAACAUGAGAGAAAAAGUAUAUCUAUCUAUCUAUCUAUAUGUAUAACUGGGUCAUUUUGCUGUAGAGCUGAAAUUGAUACAAUACUGUAAAUCAACUAAAAAAAAAUUUUAGGAGUUCCUUUCGUGGCUCAGUGGUUAACGAAUCCGACUAGGAACCACGAGAUUGCGGGUUCUAUCCCUGGCCUUGCUCAGUGGGUGAACGAUCGGGCGUUGCCGUGAACUGUGGUGUAGGGACGCGGCCUGGAUCCCUCAUUGCUGUGGCUUUGGUGUAGGCUGGCGGCUACAGCUCCAAUUAGACCCCUAGCCUAGGAACCUCCAUGUGCUGCAAAAAGACCUCCCCCCCCAAAAAAAAAAUUAAAAAAAAAAAUAUAUACAUAUAAACUGAAUCACUUUGCUGUAUACCUGAAAAUAACACAACAUUGAGAAUGCUGUGUAUUUCAAUUAAAAAAAAAAGGAGUUCCCGUUGUGGCACAGAGAAAACGACCAGUAUCUAUGAGGAUGUGGGUUUGAUCCCUGGCCUUGCUCAGUGGAUUGGCGAUCUGGCAUUGCUGUGAGCUGUGGGGCAGGUCACAGACUUGGUGUAGAUCCCUCAUUGCUAUGGCUGUAAUGUAGGCCAGCAGCUGCAGCUCUGAUUUGACUCCCCUGGGAACUUCCACACGCUGCAGGCACGGCUCUAAAACACACACACACACACACACAAAAAGAAAAGAAAGACAAUCCCAAGGAUAAGCCUUUUUACUGUAGGUGUGUCACUGUAAUGUCACUGCCCUCUGAUUUUUCAAAGCUCUUUCCCUAAAUCAUGGUCCCCUUAUAAACUCUCACCUGGUGUUUUGCCAAUAGACCCAACAACCUCUCCCUAAGGAAAAUCACCUUUCAGCUGAGUUUUCAAAGACCCCACUUCAGAGUUCCUGUUGUGGCUCAGUGGGUUAAGAACCCGAAUAGUAUUCAUGAGUAUGUGGGUUCAAUCCCUGGCCUCACUCAGUGGGUUAAGGAUCCAGUGUUGCUGUGAGCUGUGGUGUAGGUCACAGAUGCGGCUAGGAUCCUGAGGUGCUGCAGUUGUGGUGUAGGUGGAAGCUAUAGCUCUGAUUUGACCCCUAGCCUGGGAACUCCCAUAUGCCAUAGGUGAGGCCCUAAAAAGAAAAGAAAAGAAAGAAAGAAAUAAAAGGCCCCACUUUGGAGAUCCUGCUGUGGCUCAGUGGAAACAAAAUCUGAUUAGUAUCCACGAGGAUGCAGAUUCGAUCCCUGGUCUCGCUCAGUGGAUUAAGGAUCCGGUGUUGCCGUGAGCUGGGGUGUAGGUCACAGACGCGGCUCCCAUCUGGUGUUGCUGUGGCUGUGCUGUAGCUCAGAUUUGACCCCUAGCCUGGGAACUUCCAUAUGCUGAGGGUGGGACCCUAAAAACACAAAAACAAAAACAAAAACAAAAAAUAGAAAUAAGCUCUGAGCAAACUUCUUCAUCAUGACGUGCUGGGCUGUGUUGGGAGAAGGUUCCAAGUCACUGCAGCCCAUCCUUCAUCCCUUGCAGAGAACAAUUGAGGGGGACCUGAGGCAAACAGCUUACUAUCACUUCACAGCUCGCUAUUUUAACAGAUUAAAAAGAAAGAGGAGGAGAGAAAAAACAUGCGACUAACCGGUUAAACUAGGUUUGACCGUUAAGAUAAAAGAUCACCAACAUCCUUACCAAGUAGUACACAACGGAAUAAGCUAAAUUUAUUUACUAGGUUCCAAAGAAUGUUUCCAACAAAGAGGAGAGAGCCCACAGGCCCCGUCUGAACUGGACACAAUUUAAAAGAGAAAUAGUUUGGAGUUCCCUGACGGCCUGGCAGGUAAGGGUGCAGGAACUCUGCCAUGCUGCAGACUCAGACAAAACAACAAACAAACAAACAAAACGGAAAGUGAAUUCUACCAAACAUAUAAGGAAGAACUCACACUGAUCCUUCUUCUCACACUCUUCCAAAAGAAUGAAGGCAAAAGAACACGCCCCAAAACAAGGACACUAACACAAAAACAAACUGCAGGCCAAAAUCUUUGGUGAAUAUAGAUACAAAAAUCUUCAUAAAAUACUAGCAAACUGAAUCCAGUAUACUUAAAAGCCUGGAAGCCUUACAGUAAAGCCCUCAGGCACUAACACUAGAAGUCAGCAUACAAACCCCAACAGGAAGAUAUCAAUGACUGGCCUCAAAGGAAUUAUUCUCCUUGUCCAGCAACAAGCCCAGCCAAUGAGAAACACCUUGUGCCUCCAAAAGUCCACUUUCCUCCAAUGGGCUUUUGUGCAGAACAACUACUCCCACCUUCCCCCUUUUUCUCUAGAAAGUAAUAUUCCUCUCCUUUGCUUGCUGGGACUUCCCUGUGGUUUCUGCUACUUUUCCAGUCCUGUAUUGUGAUUCCUUAAGGAACCCGUGCUGCUGGUUUAUUGUUUUAUAAUAACUCGUACUGUGUCUUUCCACGUUCCUCAUCUAUCCUUCACUGUGCCAGCUGUUUAUGGUUGUCCUUCAUUCUUUUCUCUUUUUCUACUUCUGAGUUCUCUUGACCAGGAAUGGGAUAUUAAAUUCAUUAACUUGACAUUUCUGGUUUUCUUUAACACUUAACUUUUUUUUUUUUUUUAAGUGCCACACCCGCAGCAUACGGAGGUUCCCAGGCUAGGGGUUAUAGCCGCUGGCCUACACCACAACCACAGCAACGACAGACUGAAGCCGCGUCUGCAAGACUACACCACCUCUCAGGGGAAUGCAGGACCCUUCACCCACUGAGUGAGGUCAGGGAUCAAACCUUUGUCCUCAUGGUUCCUAGUCAGAUUCGUUUCCGCUGAGCCACGAUGGGAACUCCAACACGAAUCUUUGGAUGCGCCAACUAACUGGAUUGUUGUUGUGGCUUUUUUCGUUUUGUUUUUGCAAAACUCCUAUACACCCUCGGCUCCUCCUUCACCUCUUGGGAGCAGUCCCUCAGAGAGGCUGUGGCUGGGCUUAAGUCCGCAGUUUUGGUUUUUUGAUUGUAAGUUGAUUUACAAUGUUGUGCCAACUGCUGCUGUACAAUAAAGUGAACCAUGCAUACACACACGCUCUUUUUCUCAUAUUAUCUUCUACCAUGUUCUUAUCCAAAAGCCUAUAGUUCCCUUGUGCUGUACAGUAGGACCUCACCGCUUAUCCAUUCUAAAUGCAAUAGUGUGCAUCUACCAACCCCAAGUCCUCAGUUUUAUCUGCCAAAUAAAACAUAAUUCUCAACUUCUAGGUGAUACCUGUUUAGUCAACAGAAAGGAUUAGAUGCCCGUUUAUUAAUUCCACAGUAACAGAGCACGUUAUCGAGUGGGGUAGAAUUUGGGGCAGAAAAAUUCUGAGUGUCUCAAGACAGGCCCGUUUUAGCUUUUUUCCCCAACUGCAAGGUGAGGAGAGACAGAGACUAAAAACGAGGGGCCUGGGAACCAGAACAUCCCGGCUGUGGAGUGUGCGAGGUGAAGGAAAGUGGGUGUGUUUCUGGAACGGAGCGGGCUCUCCAGAAUCCCGGGGCCAGAAGCAGGACGGAGCCUCUCCUGCAGCGGGGCGGUGGGCUCGCGGCCCUCCAGGGGCGGAGACGCCGAGGCAAGGGGGCGCGAGGGGCAGGGAUCCGCUCGCGGAUUUCCACAGGAAAGCGAAGCCGCAGCCCCUCCCCCUCCCGCCUCGCACGGCGACGCCUGCAUUUACUUCGUCUGCUGGACGAAGGCCGGGAUUUUAGGAUCAGUAGGAGCCUCGGACCCAGAUACGGGGGACAGGGUACCGCAAACACCGGUUUAAACAAGAAAGAUGAAACUCACGCUCUCGUAGGGUGACCCUCGCUC
rnacentral:lncRNA from 1 species